rnacentral:rRNA from 1 species
AUUGAACGCUGGCGGCAGGCUUAACACAUGCAAGUCGAGCGGAGUGAUGGUGCUUGCACUAUCACUUAGCGGCGGACGGGUGAGUAAUGCUUAGGAAUCUGCCUAUUAGUGGGGGUCAACAUCUCGAAAGGGAUGCUAAUACCGCAUACGUCCUACGGGAGAAAGCAGGGGAUCACUUGUGACCUUGCGCUAAUAGAUGAGCCUAAGUCGGAUUAGCUAGUUGGUGGGGUAAAGGCCUACCAAGGCGACGAUCUGUAGCGGGUCUGAGAGGAUGAUCCGGCACACUGGGACUGAGACACGGCCCGGACUCCUACGGGAGGCAGCAGUGGGGAAUAUUGGACAAUGGGGGGAACCCUGAUCCAGCCAUGCCGCGUGUGUGAAGAAGGCCUUAUGGUUGUAAAGCACUUUAAGCGGGGAGGAGGCUCCUUUGGUUAAUACCCAAGAUGAGUGGACGUUACUCGCAGAAUAAGCACCGGCUAACUCUGUGCCAGCCGCCGCGGUAA